AAGAAAGUGACAGAGUGGUGAUGUGGUUGGCUUGAAACUGACAUAUGGGGGUUCGAUUCCUUCCUUUCUUG
rnacentral:tRNA from 2 species